rnacentral:rRNA from 1 species
CCUACGGGUGGCAGCAGUGGGGAAUAUUGGACAAUGGGGGCAACCCUGAUCCAGCCAUGCCGCGUGUGUGAAGAAGGCCCUCGGGUUGUAAAGCACUUUCAGUGAGGAAGAACGCCUGGUGGUUAAUACCCAUCAGGAAAGACAUCACUCACAGAAGAAGCACCGGCUAACUCCGUGCCAGCAGCCGCGGUAAUACGGAGGGUGCGAGCGUUAAUCGGAAUUACUGGGCGUAAAGCGCGCGUAGGUGGCUUGAUAAGCCGGUUGUGAAAGCCCCGGGCUCAACCUGGGAACGGCAUCCGGAACUGUCCAGCUAGAGUGCAGGAGAGGAAGGUAGAAUUCCCGGUGUAGCGGUGAAAUGCGUAGAGAUCGGGAGGAAUACCAGUGGCGAAGGCGGCCUUCUGGACUGACACUGACACUGAGGUGCGAAAGCGUGGGUAGCAAACAGGAUUAGAUACCCUAGUAGUC